CCGUCCGUCUGUUAUUCAGUAUUCGUACGAGAACACAUAUGAAACUUUGCUUUCGACAAUUUUGAAUAAACUUAACUAUUCACAUUUAUGUAGGGGCUGCAUUAAACAGAGGAAGUUCGAUCCUUUGUAUUGUGAAUCUUUUAUGAUAUCGGAAAUUCGUUACCGGCUGAAUCAGCUGUUGGGUCAUUUUUUAACGUCUCCCGGCCG
rnacentral:lncRNA from 1 species